UUGGAGGGCAAGUCUGGUGCCAGCAGCCGCGGUAAUUCCAGCUCCAAUAGCGUAUAUUAAAGUUGUUGCAGUUAAAAAGCUCGUAGUUGAAUUUCGGGAUUAGUACGUCGGUCGUGCCUUAGGUACGUACUGGUGUUACUGGUUCCUACCUUCUGACGAACCAUCAUGUCAUUAAUUUGGUGUGGUGGGGAAUCAGGACUGUUACUUUGAAAAAAUUAGAGUGUUUAAAGCAGGCUCGCGCUUGAAUACAUUAGCAUGGAAUAAUGAAAUAGGACGUUGAUCCUAUUUUGUUGGUUUCUAGGAUUGACGUAAUGAUUAAUAGGGAUAGUUGGGGGCAUUAGUAUUCAAUUGUCAGAGGUGAAAUUCUUGGAUUUAUUGAAGACUAACUACUGCGAAAGCAUUUGCCAAGGAUGUUUUCAUUAAUCAAGAACGAAAGUUAGGGGAUCGAAGACGAUCAGAUACCGUCGUAGUCUUAACCAUAAACUAUGCCGACUAGGGAUCGGAUGAUGUUAUUUUUAAUGACUCAUUCGGCACCUUACGGGAAAC
rnacentral:rRNA from 1 species